ACAGCCACGGCUCGAAGUGAUAGACAUUACUCAUGAUAACAAAGAUGAUCUUCAGGCUACCAUUGCUUUGAGUCUACUGGAGUCUCCCAAAAUUCAAGCUGAUGGAAGAGAUCUUAACAGGAUGCAUGAAGCAACCUCUGCAGAAACUAAGCGCUCAAAGAGAAAACGUUGUGAAGUGUGGGGAGAAAACCCCAAUCCCAAUGAUUGGAGGAGAGUUGAUGGUUGGUCAGUUGGGCUGAAAAAUGUUGGCAAUACAUGUUGGUUUAGUGCUGUUAUUCAGUCUCUCUUUCAAUUGCCUGAAUUUUGAAGACUUGUUCUCAGUUAUAGUCUGCCACAAAAUGUACUUGAAAAUUGUCGAAAUCACACAGAAAAGAGAAAUGUCAUGUUUAUGCAAGCGCUUCAGUAUUUGUUUGCUCUAAUGGGAUCAAAUAGAAAAUUUGCAGACCCGUCCACAACCCUGGCUCUAUUAAAGGGAGCAUUCCGGUCAUCUGAGGAACAGCAGCAAGAUGUGAGUGAAUUCACACACAAGCUCUUGGAUUGGCUACAGGACACAUUCCAGCUAGCUGUUACUGUUAACAGUCCCAGGAACAAAUCUGAAAAUCCAGUGGUGCAGCUGUUUAUGGUACUCUCCUGACUGAAGGGGUUCGUGAAGGAAAACCCUUUUGUAACAAUGAGAUCUUCGGCCAGUAUCCUCUUCAGGUAAAUGGUUAUCGCAACUUAGAGGAGUGUUUGGAAGGAGCCAUGGUGGAGGGUGAUGUUGAGCUUCUUCCCUCUGAUCACUUGGUGAAGUAUGGACAAGAGCGUUGGUUUACAAAGCUACCUCCGGUAUUGACUUUUGAACUCUCAUGGUUUGAGUUUAAUCAGUCCCUUGGUCAGCCAGAGAAAAAUCACAAUAAGCUGGAAUUUCCUCAGAUUAUUUAUAUGGACAGGUACAUGUAAAGGAGCAAAGAGCUUAUUUGGAAUAAGAGAGAGUGCAUUCGAAAGUUGAAGGAGGAAAUAAAAGUUCGGCAGCAAAAAUUGGAAAGGUAUGUGAAAUAUGGCUCAGGCCCAGCUCGGUUCCCGCUCCCUGACAUGCUGAAAUAUGUUAUUAAAUUUGCUAGUACAAAACCUGCCUCAGAAAGCUGUCCACCUGAAAGUGACACACACAUGACAUUACCACUUUCUUCAGUGCACUGCUCGGUUCCUGACCAGACAUCAAAGGAAAGUACGAGUACAGAAAGCUCUUCUCAGGAUGUUGAAAGUACCUUUUCUUCUCCUGAAGAUUCUCAACACAAGUCUAAACCACUUAUAUCUUCUCGGUCUUCCAUGGAAAUGCCUGCACAGCCAGCUCCAAGAACAGUCACAGAUGAGGAGAUAAACUUUGUUAAGACUUGUCUUCAGAGGUGGAGGAGUGAGAUUGAACAAGAUAUACAAGAUUUAAAGAAUCGUAUUGCAAGUACUACUCAGGCUGUUGAGCAGAUGUACUGUGAUCCUCUCCUUCGUCAGAUGCCUUAUUGCUUGCAUGCAGUUCUUGUUCAUGAAGGACAAGCAAAUGCUGGACACUAUUGGGCCCAUAUCUAUAAUCAGCCCAGUCAGAGAUGGCUCAAGUACAAUGACAUCUCUGUUACUGAAUCUUCCUGGGAAGAAGUUGAAAGAGAUUCCUAUGGGGGCCUGAGAAAUGUUAGUGCUUACUGUCUGAUGUACAUUAAUGACAAACUACCCCACUUCAACGCAGAGGCAGCCCCAAAUGAGUCAGAUCAAAUGUUAGGAAGCCUUAUCUGUGGAACUUAACCAUUACAUUCAGGAGGAUAACUGGCGAUUUGAGCAAGAAGUAGAGGAGUGGAAAGAAGAGCAAUCUUGCAAAAUCCCUCAAAUGGAGUCCUCCAACUUCUCAUCACAGGACUUCUCUACAUCACAAGAGCCUUCAGUAGCCUCUUCUCAUGGGGUUCGCUGCUUGUCAUCUGAGCAUGCUAUGAUUGUAAAGGAGCAGGCUGCCCAGGCUAUUGCAAACACAGCCCGUGCCUAUGAGAAGAGCGGUGUAGAAGCAGCACUGAGUGAGGCAUUCCAUGAGGAAUACUCCAGGCUCUAUCAGCUUGCCUAAGAGACCCCCAUCUCUCACAGUGAUCCUCGACUUCAACAUGUCCUUGUCUACUUCUUCCACAAUGAAGCACCCAAAAGGGUAGUAGAACGAACUCUUCUGGAACAGUUUGCAGAUAAAAAUCUUAGCUAUGAUGAAAGAUUAAUCAGCAUUAUGAAGGUGGCUCAAGCGAAACUGAAGGAAAUUGGUCCAGAUGACAUGAAUACGGAAGAGUACAAGAAGUGGCAUGAAGCUUAUAGUUUGUUCUGAAAAGUAUCUGUGUACCUCCUAACAGGCCUAGAACUCUAUCAAAAAGGAAAGUACCAAGAGGCACUUUCCUACCUGGUAUAUGCCUACCAGAGCAAUGCUGCCCUGCUGAUAAAGGGGCCUUGCCAGGGGGUCAAGGAGUCCAUGAUUGCUUUAUACUGAAGGAAGUAUCUUCUGGAGCUGAAUGCCAAAGCAGCGUCUCUCUUUGAAAUGAAUGAUGAUCACUCUGUAACCGAGGGCAUUAAUGUGAUGAAUGAGCUGAUCAUCCCCUGCAUUCACCUUAUCAUCAAUAAUGACGUCUCCAAGGAUGACCUGGAUGCCAUUGAAGUCAUGAGAAACCAUUGGUGCUCUUACCUUGGGCAAGAUAUUGCAGAAAAUCUGUAGCUGUGCCUAGGGGAGUUUCUACCCAGACUUCUAGAUCCUUCUGCAGAAAUCAUCGUCUUGAAGGAGCCUCCAACUAUUCAACCCCAUUCUCCCUUUGACCUAUGUAGCCGAUUUGCAGCUGUCAUGGAGUCAAUUCAAGGAGUUUCAACUGUGACAGUGAAAUAA